AAAUGGCAGUGAUCCGUACGGAAGCCGAAGGAAUCGACUCAUAUUGAAGAGCUAAGCCAAAGGAUUCGGUUCACUUAAAAGAGCCAGUGCUUUCCAUCAUUGAAGGAAGUGAAGUGCGCGGUGAAAAAGCAUCAUAAUGGACGCUACAGUGGCAUGUAAUAAUUGUGGCUUACCGUACACGUUGUCUGAGGGUGAGGUUGUGGGGAGGCUGCCCCAUGUGCUCUUCUGUGUGGAGUGUCUCUGCUCUCUGGAGUGUCCUCAGGACUCCAACUCUGUCCCCUCAGUCAGCUGUCCCGAGUGUAGGACGGUUUUUGCUAUGUGGGCCAAUCUCAGCUGAAAGCAGGUGUACUUGCGGCAGGUCCAUACUCUGUGUAGCGGUGUGUAUCUGCUUUUUCGAGUUCGUUAAGUCACAGACGGGCCACAGCUAAAAUUAAGGAGCUCAGCCGCCUGGAAAACACUUUUGACGGUUAAAUCAGUUAGGAUACUCGAGGCUGCAGUCAUUCUUCGUUUUCAAGAGGAAUCAUUUCAGCUGAAGAAGCCAUGCUGAGGGAGGUGUUAACUAAAUUAGAGAUGGUGCUGGACCAACAAACCACUGAGAUUGCUUCAACUACAGGAGGUCCAGGUGCAGCCUUUGGAUAUUGAUGAAGAUUUACUGCCCCUGCAAGACCUUCCUCAACUGUGUAGUCUGGAGCAAAGGAUGCAACAGAGCCCAGAUUACAAGCAAAAUCUGUUCAUAGAAACCUCUUUACGGCUAACGCUGCAGAGAUGGAGGUCGAGAGGACCAUGAAGAGGUGGCUCCAGCUGGCAUCAGAUCAAGAGUGUGAGUGCAAGAGAAGUCUUUUGCAAAAGGAAGCUGGGUGGGUACACAGUUGCGGUCGGAAGUUUACAUACCCCUUGCUGAAUCUACAAAAUAUUAAUGCUCUUAACAAAAUAAGAUUGAUCCUGUGCAAUCGUUGGGAACUACAUUGUGCGAAAUGUCCGCGUCGCUUCAACAAAGGGUAAGGUGCACACACAGUUUUUCUUUUGCUUGUGUCCUUGAUGUCGCUGAGCAGCUACCAGGAAUCCUGAAGAAGGACGAGUGCAUUGGAGCAGUCGUGCCGCAUGCGGGGGCAAACAUCAGGCUUCGGCAGACGGAGGUUCUGAAGAGGGACUUCGCCAGCCUGAUCGAGACGGUACGAGGCAGAUCACCCACCGCGAAGAUCAUCGUCUCUGGACCUCUUCCCUCAUACAGAUGUGGAGCUGAAAAGUUCAGUAGACUUCUAGCAUUAAAUGAUUGGUUAGUUUCUUGGUGUAAUUAACAGGAAUCUGCUGUUUGUUAAUAACUGGAAUCUGUUCUGGGAGCGUCCUAGGUUGUUUCGUCCUGAUGUCCUGCACUCCAGCAGCUUCGGAGCGGAACUGCUGUCAGACAACAUCUCCAAGACACUACAAACCAAGUGACUGCCUACCGUCAAAUUAUUCGUAAACAUGGAAUGAACUUCCACUGUUAUGCUGAUGAUACAGAGCUGUAUGUUUGCAACUGAACAAUAACAACAAUAAACAACAACUGAAGAAUAGCGAAAAACUUCAACUGUUUUCGUGCUUACUUGAAGACGAUGAGGCGGAGCAGCAUCGGAGAGACAGUUCGCUCCAUUCUCCAAAGAAUCGGGGAGAACAGUCUGUGGUGUAUGUUUUCGUUGAAAGCGUCAAAAGGUGGGAAGCUGGCUUUGACUGAUCAGGAUGAAGUGUAUGGCCUUGUACACUAUAUUGCCGAACAAGCACAUGGACGUGAAUAUACUGUUGCCGGUUGCAGAGAGGCCAUCGGCAGCUACCUAAAAAAUGCCCCAGGCAGGAAAAGUGUCAAGAAACACAUUGAGUGUUUAUGAUGAAGCAGAGCUACAUGGGAUCUCCAGUGCGUCCUGCAAGAAUUGGGCCUUAGUCCAGUUCAGAUUCAAUUUUGUAAUCUCAUUCCUCUCCCUCGCGUGACAGCCUCCAAACAGUACAAUUCUAAUGAGCUUGAAUAUACGGGGAAUUCCAUUGGGUUUGAUGUCUGACUAAUAAUUUUUUUCUUUGAUUAGCAAUACAUAGGAACUAUAUCUGGCUAUUUUGUGUGUUACAAUAUUGAAUGUCAUUUUUCAGCUUUUAACUUCGUCUGCAUUUACUAAAAUUCAUGCAUGUUUAUUAAAAAUAUUCAUGGAGUUUGUUAAACUAUAUAAUUGUUGUCUGUCAUUCAUAAGAUUCGUCAUGCGAAUUCCAUAGACCAGAAUCUAACAUCCACAUUAUUGAAGCUUGUUUAAUCACGGGUUUGUUAAAGCAUGCGGUAUGUUAUAUGCUUUAAUUGUAUCUUGCCACAUAAUGUUGGAAAAUGAGUACUUGUGUACUUUUCAAGAAAUUAGAUACAAAAAGGAUUACACAUAUCUGAUUAGAAAAAAUAGCAUCAUAAUGUGUGUAACUUUGUGUAUAAAUAUUGUGUAGUGUAUUUACACCACAUUAUGAGGUGUAUAUACAGGCAAUUACAAAAUACUAUGUGCAUGUUGUUGAGUCUUUCUGGAAUUCUAUAUCCCUGUUUUAUAAAGCACUGAAUGGUUUGGGUCCAAUAUAUAUUUCUGAUCUACUGGUACCUUAUGAACCAUCCAGACCUCUGAGGUCAUCUGGAACAGGUCUGCUUUCUGUUCUCAGAGUCAAAACUAAAUGUGGAGAAGCAGCAUUUAGUUUUUAUUCUCCACAUAUCUGGAACAAACUCCCAGAAAACUGCAGAUCUGCCAAAACUGUCAGUUCUUUUAAAUCAAGACUGAAGAAUUUUCUUUUUGCUGCUGCUUUUAAAUCAAUCAUCAAGGUAUUUUAAUUAAUAUCUUAUGCUGCACUGUAACCUUUUUAAUCUGUUUUAACCUGUUUUUUAUUUGUUUGUUUUUAUUAUUACUUUUUUUUUUUUUAUUUUAUAUAAUGUGUAUGAACUCUUUUUAAUGUCUUCUUUUUAAAUGUUGCUUUGUGUUGCUUUUAUGUAAAGCACUUUGAAUUACCCUGUUGCUGAAAAUGUGCUAUACAAAUAAAUUUGCCUUGCCUUUGUG